rnacentral:rRNA from 1 species
AGAGUUUGAUCAUGGCUCAGAUUGAACGCUGGCGGCAGGCCUAACACAUGCAAGUCGAGCGGUAGCACAGAGAGCUUGCUCUCGGGUGACGAGCGGCGGACGGGUGAGUAAUGUCUGGGAAACUGCCUGAUGGAGGGGGAUAACUACUGGAAACGGUAGCUAAUACCGCAUAACGUCGCAAGACCAAAGUGGGGGACCUUCGGGCCUCAUGCCAUCAGAUGUGCCCAGAUGGGAUUAGCUAGUAGGUGGGGUAACGGCUCACCUAGGCGACGAUCCCUAGCUGGUCUGAGAGGAUGACCAGCCACACUGGAACUGAGACACGGUCCAGACUCCUACGGGAGGCAGCAGUGGGGAAUAUUGCACAAUGGGCGCAAGCCUGAUGCAGCCAUGCCGCGUGUGUGAAGAAGGCCUUCGGGUUGUAAAGCACUUUCAGCGGGGAGGAAGGCGUUGAGGUUAAUAACCUUGUCGAUUGACGUUACCCGCAGAAGAAGCACCGGCUAACUCCGUGCCAGCAGCCGCGGUAAUACGGAGGGUGCAAGCGUUAAUCGGAAUUACUGGGCGUAAAGCGCACGCAGGCGGUCUGUCAAGUCGGAUGUGAAAUCCCCGGGCUCAACCUGGGAACUGCAUUCGAAACUGGCAGGCUAGAGUCUUGUAGAGGGGGGUAGAAUUCCAGGUGUAGCGGUGAAAUGCGUAGAGAUCUGGAGGAAUACCGGUGGCGAAGGCGGCCCCCUGGACAAAGACUGACGCUCAGGUGCGAAAGCGUGGGGAGCAAACAGGAUUAGAUACCCUGGUAGUCCACGCCGUAAACGAUGUCGAUUUGGAGGUUGUGCCCUUGAGGCGUGGCUUCCGGAGCUAACGCGUUAAAUCGACCGCCUGGGGAGUACGGCCGCAAGGUUAAAACUCAAAUGAAUUGACGGGGGCCCGCACAAGCGGUGGAGCAUGUGGUUUAAUUCGAUGCAACGCGAAGAACCUUACCUGGUCUUGACAUCCACAGAACUUUCCAGAGAUGGAUUGGUGCCUUCGGGAACUGUGAGACAGGUGCUGCAUGGCUGUCGUCAGCUCGUGUUGUGAAAUGUUGGGUUAAGUCCCGCAACGAGCGCAACCCUUAUCCUUUGUUGCCAGCGGUCCGGCCGGGAACUCAAAGGAGACUGCCAGUGAUAAACUGGAGGAAGGUGGGGAUGACGUCAAGUCAUCAUGGCCCUUACGACCAGGGCUACACACGUGCUACAAUGGCAUAUACAAAGAGAAGCGACCUCGCGAGAGCAAGCGGACCUCAUAAAGUAUGUCGUAGUCCGGAUUGGAGUCUGCAACUCGACUCCAUGAAGUCGGAAUCGCUAGUAAUCGUAGAUCAGAAUGCUACGGUGAAUACGUUCCCGGGCCUUGUACACACCGCCCGUCACACCAUGGGAGUGGGUUGCAAAAGAAGUAGGUAGCUUAACCUUCGGGAGGGCGCUUACCACUUUGUGAUUCAUGACUGGGGUGAAGUCGUAACAAGGUAACCGUAGGGGAACCUGCGGUUGGAUCACCU